UCCGUUGUAGCAAUACGAUGGAAAGUCUAGUGGCGAACGGGUGCUUAACACGUGGGCAACCUGCCAUGAAGUGGGGGAUAGCUCGCCGAAAGGCGAAUUAAUACCGCAUGUGAUUAGAGAGGACAUCCUUUCGAAAUUAAAGUCGGGGCAACCUGACGCUUCUUGUGGGGCCCGCGGCCUAUCAGCUAGUUGGUGAGGUAACGGCUCACCAAGGCUUUGACGGGUAGCUGGUCUGAGAGGACGACCAGCCACACUGGGACUGAGACACGGCCCAGACACCUACGGGUGGCAGCAGUCGAGAAUUUUUGACAAUGGGGGAAACCCUGAUCGAGCGACGCCGCGUGGAGGAUGAAGGUCUUCGGAUUGUAAACUCCUGUCAUUGGGGAACAAUGCACAGAUAUUAACUGUAUUUGUGUCGAUAGUACCCGAAGAGGAAGAGACGGCUAACUCUGUGCCAGCAGCCGCGGUAAUACAGAGGUCUCAAGCGUUGUUCGGAUUCAUUGGGCGUAAAGGGUGCGUAGGCGGCGCGGUAAGUCGGGUGUGAAAUCUCGGAGCUUAACUCCGAAACUGCAUUCGAUACUGCCGUGCUUGAGGACUGGAGAGGAGACUGGAAUUCACGGUGUAGCA
rnacentral:rRNA from 1 species